rnacentral:rRNA from 1 species
CCUACGGGAGGCAGCAGUGGGGGAUAUUGCACAAUGGGGGGAACCCUGAUGCAGCGACGCCGCGUGGGUGAAGGAGCGUUUCGGCGCGUAAAGUCCUAUCGGCAGGGAAGAAGAUGACGGUACCUGACCAAGAAGCCCCGGCUAACUACGUGCCAGCAGCCGCGGGAAUACGUAGGGGGCAAGCGUUAUCCGGAUUUACUGGGUGUAAAGGGGGCGCAGACGGCAAUGCAAGCCAGGAGUGAAAGCCCGGGGCCCAACCCCGGGACUGCUCUUGGAACUGCAUGGCUGGAGUACAGGAGGGGCAGGCGGAAUUCCUAGUGUAGCGGUGAAAUGCGUAGAUAUUAGGAGGAACACCAGUGGCGAAGGCGGCCUGCUGGACUGUGACUGACGCUGAUGCACGAAAGCGUGGGGAUCAAACAGGAUUAGAUACCCCGGUAGUC